rfam:Triticum urartu cultivar G1812 contig152429, whole genome shotgun sequence.
CUAUUACUCCCUCCGUCUGGAAAUGCUUGUCAUCAAAAUGGAUAAAAGGAGAUGUAUCUAGACGUAUUUUAGUUCUAGAUACAUCCUUUUUAUUCAUUUUAAUGACAAGUAUUUUCGGACGGAGGGAGUAUAUA